GAGCGCGUAGGCGGGGUAGUAAGUCAGAUGUGAAAUCCUAUGGCUUAACCAUAGAACUGCAUUUGAAACUACUACUCUAGAGUAUGGGAGAGGUAGGUGGAAUUCUUGGUGUAGGGGUAAAAUCCGUAGAGAUCAAGAGGAAUACUCAUUGCGAAGGCGACCUGCUGGAACAUUACUGACGCUGAUGCGCGAAAGCGUGGGGAGCAAACAGGAUUAGAUACCCUGGUAGUCCACGCCCUAAACGAUGAAUGCUAGUUGUUGUGGAGCUUGUCUCUGCAGUAAUGCAGCUAACGCAUUAAGCAUUCCGCCUGGGGAGUACGGUCGCAAGAUUAAAACUCAAAGGAAUAGACGGGGACCCGCACAAGCGGUGGAGCAUGUGGUUUAAUUCGAAGAUACGCGAAGAACCUUACCUAGGCUUGACAUUGAUAGAAUCUGCUAGAGAUAGCGGAGUGCUGGCUUGCCAGAGCUUGAAAACAGGUGCUGCACGGCUGUCGUCAGCUCGUGUCGUGAGAUGUUGGGUUAAGUCCCGCAACGAGCGCAACCCUCGUCCUUAGUUGCUAACAGUUCGGCUGAGCACUCUAGGGAGACUGCCUUCGUAAGGAGGAGGAAGGUGAGGACGACGUCAAGUCAUCAUGGCCCUUACGCCUAGGGCUACACACGUGCUACAAUGGGAUGCACAAAGAGACGCAAUACCGCGAGGUGGAGCAAAUCUCAAAAACAUCUCUCAGUUCGGAUUGUAGUCUGCAACUCGACUACAUGAAGCUGGAAUCGCUAGUAAUCGUGAAUCAGCCAUGUCACGGUGAAUACGUUCCCGGGUCU
rnacentral:rRNA from 1 species